CUUAAACAAUGUCUACACUGUAUUUCUGAUCAAUUUGAUGUUAUUUUAAUGGACAAAAUGUUUUUCCUUUUCUUUCAAAAACAAGGACAUUUCUAAGUGUCCCCAAACUGUUGAACAGUAGUGUAACUAAACCAAAAUGGAACAUGCAGAAAAUACAUUUCUGAAGCAACAAAAUGAUACCUUGUUCACCCCCCCUCAAUAACCCAUAACGAAAAAGCCAAAACUGGUUUAGACAUUAAUUUAUUCAAAAUAAAAAACAGAAAUAACACAAUUACAUUAAGUAUUCAGACCCUUUUCUCAGUACUUUAUUGAAGCACCUUUGGCAGUGAUUACAGCCUCGAGUCUUCUUGGGUAUGACGCUACAAGCUUGGCACAUCUGUAUUUGGGGAGUUUCUCCCAUUCUUCGCUGCAGGUCCUUUCAAGCUCUGUCAGGUUGGAUGGGGAGUGUCGCUGCACAGCUAUUUUCAGGUCUCUCCAGAGAUGUUAGAUCGGAUUCAAGUCCGGGCUCUGACUGGGCCACUCAAGGACAUUCAGAGACUUGUCCGAAGGCCACUCCUGUGUUGUCUUGGUUGUGUGCUUAGGGUCGUUGUCCUGUUGGAAGGUGAACCUUCACCCCAGUCUGCGGUUCUGAGCGCUCUGGAACAGCUAGUACAGCCCCUAGUACCUUAGGUAGUACAGUAUAGCCUCAGCUAGUCCAGCCCCUAGUCCAGCAGGUAGUACAGUAUAGCCUCAGCUAGUCCAGCAGGUAGUCCAGUAUAGCCUCAGCUAGUCCAGCUCCUAGUCCAGCAGGUAGUCCAGUAUAGCCUCAGCUAGUCCAGCUCCUAGUCCAGCAGGUAGUACAGUAUAGCCUCAGCUAGUCCAGCAGGUAGUCCAGUAUAGCCUCAGCUAGUCCAGCAGGUAGUCCAGCAGGUAGUACAGUAUAGCCUCAGCUAGUCCAGCAGGUAGUACAGUAUAGCCUCAGCUAGUCCAGCUCCUAGUCCAGCAGGUAGUCCAGUAUAGCCUCAGCUAGUCCAGCUCCUAGUCCAGCAGGUAGUACAGUAUAGCCUCAGCUAGUCCAGCAGGUAGUACUGUAUAGCCUCAGCUAGUCAGCCCCUAGUCCAGUAUAGCCUCAGCUAGUCAGCCCCUAGUCCAGCAGGUAGUUGGUUUUGAGAGAGAGCCUUGACAGAAUGAUAACCACGCCACAGAACUGUAUACAUUUAUCAAUGAUACAUGUUCCAACUCGGGUCCCUUGACACAGAGGCAAGUACGCUAACCCCAAGAUAGACAACUCUAGAGCUUCUCCCUAACCCUUAACCCUAACCGCUUAACCCUAACCCCAAGAUAGACAACUCUAGAGCUUCUCCCUAACCCUUAACCCUAACCCCAAGAUAGACAACUCUAGAGCUAACCCUAAACCUUAACCCUAACCCCAAGAUAGACAACUCUAGAGCUUCUCCCUAACCCUAACCCUUAACCCUAACCCUUAACCCUAACCCCAAGAUAGACAACUCUAGAGCUACUCCCUAACCCUUAACCCCUAACCCCUAACCCUUAACCCUAACCCCAAGAUAGACAACUCUAGAGCUAACCCUAACCCUUAACCCUAACCCCUAACCCUAACCCCUAACCCCAAGAUAGACAACUCUAGAGCUAACCCUAACCCUUAACCCCCCUAACCCCUAACCCUAACCCCUAACCCCAAGAUAGACAACUCUAGAGCUUCUGAAAGGUUGUUCUAGUGUGGAUAUGAAUGGAGGCUAUGGUCAUAACAGAGAACAGAAAAACAUGGAUGUCUGAGAGUAGUUGUUCUGCUGGUCAGGGAAGGCAAUAGAUUGUAUAGUUAUCUUCUGAUCAGGGUAAAAUCACUACCCCACAACAAUACAAUCUACUACCUCACAACGCCUCAGCAGAUAGACAAUGACUUCAUAAUGUUGACGAUGUACCUUGAUGAUUUCUUCCUGUUCGUUCUCAAAACACCACAGCAAAUACGAUCAGAAUAGAAUCUUUUACAAUGACCAUAAGAGGAGAUUGACUGUAGUAUCCUUGGUGAUUGACACAUUGAGAAAGACAGUAGGUUGUACAGUUAUCUCCCAGUGUGGGUGUGACCCUAAAACUAUCCAACCUACUACCUCAUCCCACUGAGCUGAGGAACCUGGAGAGGAACCUGGAGAGGAACCUGGAGAGGAACCUGGAGAGGAACCUGGUCUGAUCCACCUCACAGCAUCUGUUGAGAGAGAGACUGGAUAGUAAUACUGCCACUUUUAGGAUCAAUUCCAUCAUAUCAAACAAACAAAAAAUUUUUUUUUUUUUUAAUUCCUCAAUC
rnacentral:lncRNA from 1 species